GCGGGGGUUCCCGAGCCAGGACAAAGGGGCAGGUCCCGAAAUCCUGUGCGUAAAGCGCUGCGUGGGUUCAAAUCCCACCCCCCGCA
rnacentral:tRNA from 1 species